rnacentral:rRNA from 1 species
UGGGGAAUAUUGCACAAUGGGGGAAACCCUGAUGCAGCGACGCCGCGUGAGCGAUGAAGGCUUUCGAGUCGUAAAGCUCUGUCCUAUGGGAAGAUAAUGACGGUAUCAUAGGAGGAAGCCCCGGCUAAAUACGUGCCAGCAGCCGCGGUAAUACGUAUGGGGCGAGCGUUGUCCGGAAUUAUUGGGCGUAAAGGGUACGUAGGCGGUCUAUUAAGUCAGGUGUGAAAGCGUGAGGCUUAACCUCAUUAAGCACUUGAGACUGAUAGACUUGAGUGAAGGAGAGGAAAGUGGAAUUCCUAGUGUAGCGGUGAAAUGCGUAGAUAUUAGGAGGAAUACCGGUGGCGAAGGCGACUUUCUGGACUUUUACUGACGCUCAGGUACGAAAGCGUGGGGAGCAAACAGG